AUUGAACGCUGGCGGCAUGCCUAACACAUGCAAGUCGAACGGCAGCAUGGUCUAGCUUGCUAGACUGAUGGCGAGUGGCGCACGGGUGAGUAAUGCGUAGGAAUAUGCCUUGAAGUGGGGGAUAACUUGGGGAAACUCAAGCUAAUACCGCAUAAGCUCUAAGGAGGAAAGCUGGGGACCUUCGGGCCUGGCGCUUUAAGAUUAGCCUACGUCCGAUUAGCUAGUUGGUAGGGUAAAGGCCUACCAAGGCGACGAUCGGUAGCUGGUCUGAGAGGAUGAUCAGCCACACUGGGACUGAGACACGGCCCAGACUCCUACGGGAGGCAGCAGUCGGGAAUAUUGGACAAUGGGGGAAACCCUGAUCCAGCGAUGCCGCGUGUGUGAAGAAGGCCUACGGGUUGUAAAGCACUUUCGGUGGGGAGGAGGACACACAGGUUAAGAGCUAGUGUGUUGGACGUUACCCACAAAAGAAGCACCGGCUAACUCCGUGCCAGCCGCCGCAGUAACAC
rnacentral:rRNA from 1 species